rnacentral:rRNA from 1 species
UACGGAGGGUGCAAACGUUGCUCGGAAUCAUUGGGCGUAAAGCGCACGUAGCGGUCGGCUAUGUCGGAUGUGAAAGCCUCGGGCUUAACCCGAGAAGGGCAUCCGAAACUGGCCGGCUUGAGUAUGGAAGAGGUCUCGGAAUUCCCGGUGUAGAGGUGAAUUCGUAGAUAUCGGAGGAACACCAGUGGCGAAGGCGGAGACCUGGCCAAUACGUGACGCUGAGGUGCGAAGCGUGAGCAACAGGAUUGAGAUACCGUGUA